AGUGUGAUCUAGGACUCUCGAGGCGAAUCGCAAUGGUGAUAGAGAUAAUGUGCCCUGAAAGGAGACAUUACACGAGAAUAUAAUCAAGAAUAGACGUCUACCUUGCCCAAGUGUACCAGACCCUGAGAAAUGCGCACGAGAAACAGGUGAAACGGAUUCUUCGCAUAGUAAGCCGCCAGCUGUCUCAACAUCGUCGCCAGCCGCGCAUUAUUAGUACCAGCACCCACCAAGCCGAGGGCGAGGAUUGCAUUGAGAGCAACGUCGGCGUCUUGGUCGUGGCUGUAUUUGUUCAACACGUCCAAGAUCGCUGGCUCGGCAUUUGAUAGAGACGACAAAGCCAACGCGAGCGGCAUGGCGCGUCGUGCCGGAGUAGGACCAUAUCUUCCGACCUAGAUUCGUCAACCAUUAUCAAAAGAUUAUUGCAAAGAAGUAGCAAGACCUCACGAGCGUUCCCACAAUAAAUAUUAAUCAAUAUUAAUUGCACCUCUUGAAUAAUUGUCUUUAUCUCUUUGUGAUUCCACCUCUAAAAAGGGGACGCAAUAUCUAUUGAGCUACUGAAUGUACCAUAAGAACCCAUAAAUAUUAAUUAAAGUGAAUCGAGAUUUAA